CAGCGCUUACCUUCCGCGUUUCCAGCUGCCCGGGCUCGGGGCGCUCAGCAGACGUGGUUGUGGUCUUUCUGCCUUGCUUUACUUUUCUUGGUUUCAGUCCCUGGUUUUGCAAGCAGUUCCUCGUUCCCGCUCCCACCGUAUCUGGUAUGUAGAAGAGAGGGACGAAACGCGGAGGCUCAGGAAGGUUGGUUGCCCACCUCUUCUUUCCACCACAGAAUUCUGCCUCUAGAAAAGCAGGGGGGAGAGUAGCCACGCAAAGGAUGUAGCCACACGGAUGCGGGAUCUUAGUUCCUGGACCAGGGAUCGAACCCACGCCCCCUGUGGUGGAAGCACGGAGUCUUAACCACAGGACCACCAAGGAAGUCCCCAUUGUUUUCAUUUUUUAAAGGAAGGUUUAAAUAUGAGGGUAAUUCAUAACAAGUGACAACUUUUAAAGAAAUGACUUUAAACAACUUGAUAUGUUGCUGUUGUUAGUAGACAGAACUUUUAGCCCCAGAGUAAGAUGCAACCUGACUUUUAAGGCAGGGGCAAGGAUGUGCCAAACUCUGAGAUCAAAAGUAAGCUUUAAUUCAAACACUGUGGAUGCCAUUAGAAACUUUCCUAAAAAUAAAUCCAUCCUGCUACAUGAUUUAGAAGUGGCUUAGUAUACCAUCUUUUCCAGCCUUAAGAAGCAGAAACCCCGAAAUGUCAUCAAUGAAAAACGAUCUGGGAGAUGCUACUAAGACUCUGUCAAGGGUAUGGUCUCCCUUCCUACAGUAACCAAUAAACCUGGCUUUGCUUAAUUAAAAAAAUCAAAUCUGUGAGCAAACAAGAAUGCGGUGGGCCAAAUAAUGACAAUGAAGAUGAUGACAAUAAUGGUGGUAAUAGUAAUGACAGGAAGCAGGUAUUGAGGGCUUACUAGGUGCCAGACACUUUUCUGAGGGCUUUACAUGUCUUGACUCAUUUGAUCCGUGUAGUAGCCCAGGAAGAUAAGACCUAUUAUCAUCCCUGUUUUACAGACAAACAAACUAAGGCUUGGAGAAGUUAAGUAACUAACUUGCCUAAGGUUAUAUAGCUUAGCAGCAGCUUUCAAAACUUUGAUGUGGGGACUUCCCUGGUGGCGCAGUGGUUAAGAAUCCGCCUGCGGAGCAUGUCCAAAGGAGGGCCUCUGGAGUGUGGAGUUCUGGAGUUUGGAGGAUCGUAUGUUCCAGCAGAAUAUGCUUCCUUUCGAAUUGCUGAACAGAUUUUUACAAGAAUAAGCACUGGGCUUCCCUGGUGGCGCAGUGGUUGAGAAUCCGCCUGCCGAUGCAGGGGACACGUGUUCGUGCCCCGGUCCGGGAAGAUCCCACAUGCCACGGAGAGGCUGGGCCCGUGAGCCAUGGCCACUGAGCCUGUGCAUCCGGAGCCUGUGCUCCGCAAACGGGAGAGGCCACAACAGUGAGAGGACUGCGUACCGCAAAAAAAAAAAAAAAAAAAAAAAAGAAUAAGUACUGAUGAUGAUACUGAAACAAAUUCAUCAUCGUUUAUGAAGGAAAUGAAAGAGCCAUCAUUUAUUAGAUGAGAAAAUGAGUCACCAUAAUAAUGAUGAAUGGAAAUACUGCUCAUUAUAAAGUCAAGGAAGCUACCCUGUGAAACUGGGCUAUCAUUCGGCAGUGUUGUUGAGUUUUCCCUUCUAAAUUCAGGUUAUAGGUUAUUACAAGAUAUUGAGGGACUACCCUGGUGGCGCAGUGGUUAAGAAUCUGCCUGCCAAUGCAGGGGACACGGGUUCCAGCCCUGGUCCGGGAAGAUCCCACAUGCCGUAGAACAACUAAGCCCGUGAGCCACAACUACCGAGCCUACACUCUAGAGCCCGUGAGCCACAACUACUGAGCCCAUGUGCCACAACUACU